ensembl:snoRNA
AUCCUUUCGCAUAAGCAUGAUGAUUGGGUUUUCAUGAGCAUGCGUGAGACGUGCCGCCCACAACUCUUGUUACUACGUGGGCGCAUUACCCGUCUGACA